GCCGCUAUGGCUCAGAGGUAGAGCGUUUCCUUGGUAAGGAAGAGGUCGAGAGUUCGAGUCUCUCUAGCGGCACCA
rnacentral:tRNA from 1 species